AUGGCUCAGUGAGGCCUUGGGAUUGGCCAGGGGAGAUGGGCAACCAUCACCCCAGGCCGAAAACUUGGUCAAACUUGGUCAUUUAGAGGAAGUAAAAGUCGUAACAAGGUUUCUGAUCCUUCCAAUGGUGAACGUCAUUCAGGAAGCCUUUGUCGCCUGAAAGGGUGUGCAUACCGCGACUAUAAACAAUGUAAGUAUGUCAAGGACAAGUCGGGGGCCUAUCUAGGCCUCCGGCGACGCUGUCAAAUUGCGGGGAGUCCCUUAGAGCUUUCACUACUAAGCGGUGUCUGAAAGGUCACCGUGGCCAGGGUAAUUCCCUCGGGUACAGUCACAACGUGAAAGAUUGGGUAACCUGCAGCCAAGUCCUGUCGCCUAAAGAGAGUUGGUCCCGGACUGCUUUCUUACGGGUGUGGAUGCUGUUCACAGGCCAAAUGGUAGCGGGUUCGGCUGUGGCCGGGCUCAAGAUAUGGUCGGUCCCGCGAGGAAACUUGUGGGGAGUUCGCCGGGUUAAUGGGGCUCUCGUCGUGCGAGUUGCACCUAAACCAGUAACAAGAAAAUAAACGUUCCGUAGGUGAACCUGCGGAAGGAUCAUUACCGAGUUAGGGCCCCGACCGCCGGGGCCUGACCUCCCAACCCUGUGUCUAUGUAUACCUGUACGUGUUGCUUCGGCCGACCGGUGGUCUCUCUCUCGCCUUUGGGCGGGGGUGGUUCACCGCCCCGGGGGGGAAAAGUCAUGAACCCCCCUCUUGGGACAGUGCCGGCCGAUGGCCUAACCCAAAACUCUUCACCACAAAAUAUGAACUGAAUCUGUCUUCUCUCUGGUUCUCACCGGGGAGUGAAACAAAAUAAUCAAAAACUUUCAACAACGGAUCUCUUGGUUCUGGCAUCGAUGAAGAACGCAGCGAAAUGCGAUAAGUAAUGCGAAUUGCAGAAUUUCCGUGAGUCAUCGAAUCUUUGAACGCACAUUGCGCCCUUUGGUAUUCCGAAGGGCAUGCCUGUUCGAGCGUCAUUAUCCUCCCCUGAAACCCCCGAUCAUGGGGGUUUGGUGUUGGACCGCGUUGGGGGCUCAUCGUUCCCCCAACUGGUCUUAAAGGCAGUAACGGCGUCCAUGGGACCCUCCUCGCACUGAGCUUUUUCCACGAAGCACGCCUGGAGUCGCAAGGUCCUAGGGGCACGGUCGGCCCUGUGUGGGAUAAACACCGCACAGCAGAGCCUUUUUUUCUCAGGUUGACCUCGGAUCAGGUAGGAAUACCCGCUGAACUUAAGCAUAUCAAUAAGCGGAGGAAAAGAAACCAACAGGGAUUGCCUCAGUAACGGCGAGUGAAGCGGCAACAGCUCAAAUUUGAAAUCUGGCCCCUCCCGGGUCCGAGUUGUAAUUUGUAGAGGAUGUUUUGGGCACCGCCUCGGGUUAAAUUUCUUGGAACAGAAUGUCAAAGAGGGUGAGAGUCCCGUCUUGGCCCGCGGUAGGACCUAUGUAAAACUCCUUCGACGAGUCGACUUGUUUGGGAAUGCAGGUCAAAAUGGGUGGUAAAUUUCAUCUAAAGCUAAAUAUUGGCCAGAGACCGAUAGCGCACAAGUAGAGUGAUCGAAAGAUGAAAAGCACUUUGAAAAGAGAGUUAAACAGUAUGUGAAAUUGUUGAAAGGGAAGCGCUGGCAACCAGACUCGAGCGCGGUGCUCCCCUAGGCUUCUGCCUGGGCUACUUCACCGUGACCGGGCCAUCAUCAGUUUUGGGGGUCGGUCAAAGGCCCGGGGAAUGUAUCCUCCCCUCCGGGGGAGGACUUAUAGCCCCGGGCGUCAUGCGGCCUCCCGGGACUGAGGAACGCGCUUCGGCGAGGAUGAUGGCGUAAUGGUUGUCAGCGACCCGUCUUGAAACACGGACCAAGGAGUCUAACAUCUAUGCGAGUGUUCGGGUGUCAAACCCCUGCGCGGAAUGAAAGUGAACGGAGGUAGGAAGGCCUGAGCCUGCACUAUCGACCGAUCCUGAUGUCUUCGGAUGGAUUUGAGUAAGAGCAUAGCUGUUGGGACCCGAAAGAUGGUGAACUAUGCGUGAAUAGGGUGAAGCCAGAGGAAACUCUGGUGGAGGCUCGCAGCGGUUCUGACGUGCAAAUCGAUCGUCAAAUUUGCGUAUAGGGGCGAAAGACUAAUCGAACCAU
rnacentral:ncRNA from 1 species